rnacentral:rRNA from 1 species
GUGUCAGCAGCCGCGGUAAUACGAAGGGGGCUAGCGUUGCUCGGAAUCACUGGGCGUAAAGCGCACGUAGGCGGCUUUUUAAGUCAGGGGUGAAAUCCUGGAGCUCAACUCCAGAACUGCCUUUGAUACUGAGAGGCUUGAGUCCGGGAGAGGUGAGUGGAACUGCGAGUGUAGAGGUGAAAUUCGUAGAUAUUCGCAAGAACACCAGUGGCGAAGGCGGCUCACUGGCCCGGUACUGACGCUGAGGUGCGAAAGCGUGGGGAGCAAACAGGAUUAGAUACCCCCGUAGUCC